GGGAGGGGGAGAAGGAGGCAGUGGAGGAAGCCUGGGUCACUUCAGGCCAACUUGUCUCACAGGAACAGGUAUCUGAUGUAAAGUGCAUAUUCAUUUUCAUUGAAUACAUGAAACAAACUGGUGGAAAUUAUUCAUCAAGGCUUCCAUGUCUGAACUGCCACCCUCUGCACCCUGUUUCCGGGUCUUUUAU